rnacentral:rRNA from 1 species
AAACGUAGGACGCAAGCGUUAUCCGGAGUUACUGGGCGUAAAGAGCGUGUAGGCGGCGUUACAAGUCCUGCGUGAAAGCUCCCGGCUAAACUGGGAGAGGUCGCAGGAAACUGUAGAGCUAGAGUACGGCAGAGGGACAUGGAAUUCCGGGUGUAGUGGUGAAAUGCGUAGAUAUCCGGAGGAACACCAGAGGCGAAGGCGGUGUCCUGGGCCGAAACUGACGCUGAGACGCGAAAGCGUGGGGAGCGAACGGGAUUAGAAACCCCGGUAGUCC